CUUCACUUGCACCCACCAUCUCCGAGGCCGUGCCCACCGAGAGGCAGGGCCGGUUCAGGAGACGUAACGUCAUGUCGCUGAGUGAUGCGUACAGUAUGUGUCUGAUCUGUCACGUGGACCUGAGCCAAGGUUCAGGUGGCACCAGAGAGCUGCAGUGCACACACACCUUCCACAAAAAGUGCAUAGAGGAGUGGUUGUGGAAGAAACAGUCCUGUCCAACGUGUCACAUUCAUGUGACUAUGCCACAACCCGUCUACUGGAACUCCACAAGAGUUAAAGUCCCGUGAAACCUCCAGGAAAAAAAAAAAAUUCCUAAAACUGAACUACGUCACCAUCAAGGUUUUCCUAAAGUGGAAGCUGCUGAUUUAAGAGAACAAACAAAUGACCACGAACAAACUGUGUAUCACAUUAACAUGGAUACGAUUAGGAAUGAGAUCAUCAGAGGUAAAGCGCAGGUUGAACAACUGGGAGAUAAAGUUAGGGAGG